UACUGUACGGGCAGCCGCGAGGUAGGAGGGUAGAAGAGGUAGAAAAGGGAUCGGUAGAGGGAGGAGGGAGGGAAAAGGCGGGGGUGGAGAUGAGGCUAGACCAGACCUUGAUCCGCGGCCGCUGAACCUCCGUCUCCUGUGAGCUCGCGAGGAAGACCUAGCCCAGUUGCGCCGCGGUGGAGAGCUACGCCUUACCGCCCCCGCCGAUCUAGCCGUCGCCGUUGACCUCGAACGUCUUGCUGCCGCCGCCGACCUCGACCCCUAACGGUCGGGACCCUCCUCGCGCAGAGCGGCCGACGCCGAGGUGACCCUCCUCGCGUUGAUGCAUCGAUAUUAACAAGUCCCUCGGUACGUUAACCUCGACUCUCUUAAUAAUCGUGCAAUACAUUUCUUCACAACUCGGUCAUGUUUCCCUGCUAGGAGUUAAACAAUUAUCGUCUCGACACACUCGCAAAUGCCUCGCGCUUGCCCCUCAGUUGUCAGUCGACGACAGUAUAGAGUUUUUACGCCCAAGCAAAAAGCAACGAAUGUCGCUCUCGCCAGCACCACCUGUCCUUGCUGGUGGUGCCUAGGGAGCGGGGUUCAGUUCUAGGUCAACAACUUACAAGUGUUCUUUUAAAUACAUAAGGACUUUGUGAUGGGUAACAAAAUCGACGGAUGUACCUAACCUCUAACUGACUAACAAACCAACAGGCGUCUAAGUUUCUACUUCACUAAGUCUACUCGCAGAGGGUGUUCAGAAAACGUGAUGGGCUCUCCAGUUCGUAGGGUCUAGUACUAGGUUAGUACUGACUUUAACGGUGUACGAGCCCGUCUUCGAAUUCGCUCAGCUAGGGGUAGAAGGAGAGAGGGAGAUAGGGUGUCCAGUGGAUGCUGCGAGGAGAGAGGGAGCUAGGGAAGAGACGUGGUGGCCGCGGGUACCGUUCGUGAUAGGGGAACGUGGCGAACGGCCUAUGUAGGUAAGGGUGGCGACCGCGAGGACGAGCGAGACGUCGACAGGGGUUGAGGAGGAGUUAGGUGUGGAGGCACAGGAGGCGGAAGCGGCGGACGGCGGAGGAAGAGGGGUGCUGGGGUGGAGGAGAUAAAGAGGGGAAGGCGGAGGACGGGGUGAGGGACGGGCGGAGGAAGAGGGGUGGGGCGGGCGGAGGAAUAGGACGGAGCGCUGACAGAGCCACGGCCACCACCACCGGUGCUGGUCUGAGAACGCGUCGAUGGCCGACGUCAAGGAACGCGAAGGAGGGUGCAGAGGUGGUGGAGCGGACACGUUGUGGCACGGGCGUGCCAGGGUCGCGGUAGAUGAUGUCGGGGCGCCAGUUGGCAGACCUGUGGUACCCGUCGCCGGUACCUCCGGCGUGGAGAUAGGCGAGCGGUCGGUCAUGGAGGCGGAUGUAGGAGGGAGUAGGUAGAUCUAGUCCCAACGGGUUGUCAAAAAGUACAACACAGAAAAGACUGGCGCACUUCAACGUUCAACGUCUUCACCUUAGUUGGAAAAGAUAAUAGUACGGUUUUCUUUUUUUUGGAAAUUACGAUGUCGGCUCGCCUCGGUACCUACGGAUACGAAAGCGUAUGAACGGAGACAACGACCUCCAUAUAGUAAGGUUAUAAGUAUGAUAUCUUCAGCAACAGUCCCUCACGCUCUACCCGCCGCGUCACCGGUCGCUACCGUUGUCGUAGUGCCGUCGACACAAGUGGGUCAAACUCCACUGCAGCUCCUCUACAGCUGCUUGAGGCACCUACUCGCCACCAGUACUCUCAAACGGCUCCUUCCGGCUGAGCUAGUACCUCAACGAUAGCGACGUCUUCCGCUGCGAUCGUUAUCUCUGUAGGUAGGUAAUCACGGUGGUACUUGUUGUUGCAACAUUCCGAGACGUGACCAACGACUUCAUCGUCUCUCCGAACGCAGUACGUUCGUUGACCACCGAUGUUCCUAGACAUACAUUUGUACCGAAAACGAUUUCUCUCUUUGACCCUCUAUGAUGAUAGGACCAAGGUACCUUCCGAAUAAACAGUAGAACUUAGGACUAAACCUGUUCUUCUUGAGGGGGUACAAAGGAACUUAGAGAUAUUUCGUCACAACACGUAAUGAUAACUUACUGAGGCACCCAGCACCCGUAUCUCACCUCCAACGUAGUGUAGGAGAUGUAACACAGUUUCCUGAACGUACAACACCGCAAGUAUCACCUGCCCCAAACAAAAGUACAUUCACUACCAGCUACAUUCUAUCCAUCACCUACCUGCCCGUAAAGUAUUCAAAAAAAGGGCAACGUUGCGUGCCCGGGAAAACGAUACAUUAAGUAUGUACAAACUACCGGUAU
rnacentral:rRNA from 1 species